GGCUUUAUAGUCAAAUUUAUGAUAUUAGACUGCAAUUCUAAAGUAGGGAUUAAUCUCUAAAGCUU
rnacentral:tRNA from 2 species